UCUCUUAUUGAGGGGAAAUAAUCGAACCCUCUUUUUUUUUGGUUCUAAAUUCUAUAGACACGGGUUCUGAUUCAACAUCUAGAGAUUCCAACAACAACGAUGAUGAUUUGUCCACUUGGUGUUAUUCUCCACCAACAUGCUCACCAACAGACCUUGACGUGCUAAUGGGAAGAAAUCCAUCGAAUUGCUUGGAGUUCGACAAAGCGGAGGUUAAGCCCGUAAGGGGCUUCUGACGAGACAGCAAUAGUAAAGAGAAGAUAUCCGUCUUUAAUUCGCAUACCUUCCUUCAUGCGAAGGGUGAAGAGGCGUUGCUUCAAGUAGAGCUUGUUCGUUAGAAAUUUCGUCAUGUACAAGCUUUUCAACUUGAACCACUCAAAAGUUUGUGGGGGGAGGAUACUAAAAGAAUAGCCCGGUGUCUGGAUAGAAAUAUAUUACGAGUUCUUUUUACAGGAACCUGGCAAAUGAUCCCAAUAGCACCUGGGGUGGGCAGGAUGGUUACCGAUUCAACUGAGGGAAGGAUGGAGGGUGAGAAUUCAGAUAUAACGCGACAACAAUCCUUACAAAGCUCAAGAUACCAGAUAUCCUAGGCCUAAUAUAGGCUAAUCCUGUGCAUCAUUCCUACGAGAAUGUGAGUCUAUCGGAGCCUCCAAAUGCCACUCUUCAUGACUCUGCACAACUAUGUUUGAUUCAAGGAUCCUUAUCUUCUGUCGGUGAGUACUUCUAUCAAUCAGAGCCCAAUGGAGGCAAGAGGCGCUCGCGAGCUUCAGCUAUCUGAUCUACUAAGUUCCCCUCUCUCAAAACAGCUUUCAUGCUUUUUGAUGUGGAACUUGGUUUUGACAUUUGUUAGUUUGAUUAAAUGCUUUCGCGAAGGUUGCUUGCGUAGUUGGAUCAAAGUCAUUGUGUAGAUUUGCUGAUGAAAUGAGUUUUAAUUAUAACAUUUGGUAGUUUGAUGAAAAGGGUUAACUGCACAUAGACCCCCUGCAGUUAAAGUGGCUUCGAACUUACUGACCCUGCAGUUGGGUUAAAACUUUUGGAUUACUUCACGUUCAAGACUCACUAGUUUCACUCAGGGGGUAUAUCUGCUAAAAUUUCACUAAGGGUAAGAGAAUCGAAAAAAAUUAGACACUGGGGUCUAUUUUCAGCAAUGAAGCUACGAGGAUGGUAAGUUCAAAAGAGCUACACUGCAAGAAUCUGUGCAAUUGUGAUACUGCAAGAACCUAUAUGCAAUAACCCUUACAAAGUAUUGCUUGCUCGGAUCAAGUUUGUUACGAGUACUUCAAGAUCUAUUGAGAACUUUUGUAAUACACACACGUCACUGUAACAGUCUGUGUCAAUGCAUAUUGUAUUACCAUGCUUUUGUAAUUACAGUAAUCCACUAGUGUAGCUUGCACAAGUUUUCCUUAA